rnacentral:lncRNA from 1 species
UGCAGUAAUUCGGUUCUUGAACCUAAGACCGGCAAAGGGCUCGGAAGGUCUGGGGAAUAAUUCACGAGCACUUCAGGACUUCAUCCGCUCUACGAUCAUAUUCUCAUACUAUAAAAUAGCGUAAGCAGAAAAGUUCACGUGUUCUAAGUCUAUAUCUUCGUUCUUACCCUUUUCAGGCUCCGAAAUUGGGCAUGGUUUCUCGCGUUGCAUUGUGUUCUGCCUAUUUUCCUCGAUUUAUCUGAUCAUUAUUGAGUUGCGCUCGUGCUGUGAACAGAAUUCUUUCAACCACAGUGUACAAUUUAUAUUGAAGGACCUGAUAUUUGUCCUAUUUGACCUCGUUUCACUGUUGGUUCUACCUAGUUUAUCCUUUUCUUUGUGUGUAAAUGAGGGAUAGAACAGGUGAUCAAGGACUGACGACAUUUCUGAACAUGUUGCAGGUGGACCAAUCUGAAGUUGAUCAACACAUUAGAAAGUAUUUGACGGUGGGCGUUCUCGAACGUGAUACAUACCUCGUUACGUGCAUGUAUAAUUUUUUGGCCAGGACGCAUUUCUAAUGGGUUUCACAGUUGGUUUGUCAGAAACUCUUCCGGUUUCUUGCACAGUUUAGUGCAUAAUAAAUUUUUACAUAGGUAGUUGGAUGGAAUACUUGCUUUCCAUCAUUUUGCUGGCCAAGUUAGGACGGCCUUCGUAUGAUAUCUAGUUCACGUUCCACAGUACUUCAAAAUGCUAGUCGGUAUAGUUGUCAUUGUAUGUACAGAUUGUGUGAUUUUGGCACUAAUAGAUGAAGUCUGUGUGGAGGCAAUU